rnacentral:tRNA from 1 species
CUCGGCUCUCUCCUAUUGGCGAAGGAUCUCUGACUGUAAAUCAGAGCUUUCGGGUGUGGUGGUUCGAAUCCAUCAGUCGAGA